GAUGAACGCUGGCGGCGUGCCUAAUACAUGCAAGUCGAGCGAACAGACGAUGAGCUUGCUCCUCUGACGUUAGCGGCGGACGGGUGAGUAACACGUGUAUAACCUACCUAUCAGACUGGGAUAACUUCGGGACACCGGAUCUAAUACCGUAUAAUAUAUUGAACCGCAUUGUUCAAUGGUAAAAUACGGUUUUUCUGUCACUUAUAGAUGGUUCCGCGCCGCUGGAGCUAGUUGGUAAGGUAACGGCUUACCAAGGCAACGAUGCGUAGCCGAACUGAGAGGGUGAUCGGCCACACGGGAAGUGAGACGAGGUCCAGCAUACUAAGGGAGGCAGCAGUAGGGAAUCUUCCGCAAUGGGCGAAAGCCUGACGGAGCAACGCCGCGUGAGUGAUGAAGGUCUUCGGAUCGUAAAACUCUGUUAUUAGGGAAGAACAAAUGUGUAAGUAACUAUGCACGUCUUGACGGUACCUAAUCAGAAAGCCCCGGCUAACUACGUG
rnacentral:rRNA from 1 species